UAUAAUAAAAUUGAGCCACAUGGUGCGGCAUCAGUGCAUUUGAAAUAGAAUUUGCCUCAAAAAAGCAAAAAGAGCUAUUAAGUCGUAAAAUGACUUUUUUUUUUUUUUUUUAAGGAAUAAUAAUUCGCACAGUGCUUUCUCAAGACAACCGCCGUCAGGAACUGCCAUCCACCUUCCCCAUCCCUUCGAAACACUGAAAAUGUAAUACCAUAUUAGUCCCCACAUUUUCAAAUUGGGAACUUACAAUAAAGACAAGUUUGAGAACUUUCUUUCACACCCUUUGGACCAUCAAUGGCGGAUAUAACAUGUUAUUGGUGAUCAAAACACUUAUCUUUUGAUACGGAUAACAACAUUCAAGAUUCUUACCUGGAGAGAGGAAAAAGGCAAUAGCGGAAUUGAGAAACAUGGUACCAUUUAGCUCUAUUAUUAAAGAAGUAUGGAAGGAUGUAUUCUUUGUUGUAAAAGCCUACUGUGUUUUACAUGUUACUGAGAACUAUCUGAUCACUCUUGUUAAGACUGAGGGUGCUAGCAUGCUACCUACAAUUGAUUCGACACCAAGCAUGUUUCUUGCUGAAAGAAUCUCACCUCGAUUUGGUAAAGUUGCUCACGGAGAUAUUGUACGUUUACGCUCUCCUCAAAACCCUAGAGAAAGCUACGGAAAGCGCGUGAUUGGAUUAGAGGGUGAUAGCAUUACAUAUAUUGCUGAUCGUGGAAACGGCUAUAAGCAUGAAACAGUUGUGGUUCCAAAGGGUCACGUUUGGGUAGAGGGUGAUAACAAAUUUAGUAGCUACGACUCUAGAAGUUUCGGUCCAGUUCCUUAUGGCCUUAUUGAGAGUAAGAUAUUCUGGAGGGUAUGGCCGCGUAAAGAUUUUGGAUCGUUCUGGAAUAAAUGAUUUGAAGCCUUCAAUAAUGAAGACAAAACAUAUUUAAAUGCUUAAGGAAAACUAUGAUAAGAGGUCCAUUAUGUAGACUUUUGAUUUAGUGGUAACAGGUAAGAUUGCUUUUUGACAAAACUUGUGACUUGGGUUUAAGCUUCGGAGUGACAGUGCAAUUUUUCCAUUCCAUUCGAUUUUUUGCAAGAUUUUCAGGCCUCUCUUUAUCAGGGCUUUAGUGGUCUGACCGUGAAAAAAAUCGAUUUUUGCAAGAUUUCCAGGCCUCUCUUUUCAAAGAACUUUCAUACCAACAACUCAAUCUAUUAUAGAAUUCAACGAUCAGGUAGCACUUUCUGUUGUUUGAGUUCACCGGGCAUUUGUCUAUGGCUGGUUGAUCCUGCAUAUAUGUACAGUUGUUCAGUUGGUUUUGCUGGAAGAACAACUUCAGCCCUUUUAGAGAAUGGUCUUGGACUAAGCAUACUGAUUUUUGCAUUGGUCACUUGAUGGUUGAAUACUUUCGCUCUUUAAUUUUUCUUACAAGGUAAUUAUUUGCUUGGUUUUAAAAAUGCAAAAUCUACACAGCUUGCUAGCAUAGUGAAAAACUAGAAAGCAUGCACGUCUCAAUGCAAUGAUAGAGUUUUCUAGCAUAGUUGAUGAUAUUGCUAAGACAACCCUAAUACGUGACCGCUAUCAUAUUGGCUCGAUAGAGGAAUUACGUCUGCUAUGUGGAUUAUCCUCAUUUAAAAGACCUACCACAAACUUGACACUGAAGCAGAGAUAAUUUGCAAUGCAUUGAUUUUCCUUUAUCGUUGUGUAGGACAGGUAUUAGUUUGAUAGAUUAAAGGGUCUGUUUGUCAUGUAUUAUGAACAAAGUAAUUUUGGUAUUCAAUAUUAAAUGCAAAUUUGAGGAUA